rnacentral:rRNA from 1 species
UUAAGCUACUAAGAGCACACGGAGGAUGCCUAGGCGCUAGGAGCCGAAGAAGGACGUGGCGAACAACGAUACUGCCUCGGGGAGCUGUAAGCAAGCUUCGAUCCGGGGAUGUCCGAAUGGGGAAACCCAGCUAGUGUAAUAGCUAGUUACCCGUAUCUGAAUACAUAGGAUGCGAGGAGGCAUACCCAGGGAACUGAAACAUCUAAGUACCUGGAGGAAGAGAAAACAAGAGUGAUUCCGUCAGUAGCGGCGAGCGAACGCGGAACAGCCUAAACCAGAGAGCUUGCUCUCUGGGGUUGUGGGACGUCUCACAUGGAGUUACAAAGGAACAUAUUAGGCGAAGAGGUCUGGAAAGGCCCGCUAUAAGAGGUAAAAGCCCUGUAGCCGAAAGUAUAUUCCCUCCGAGACGGAUCCCGAGUAGUGCGGGGCACGUGAAACCCCGUAUGAAUCCAGCAGGACCAUCUGCUAAGGCUAAAUACUCCCUAGCGACCGAUAGUGAAGCAGUACCGUGAGGGAAAGGUGAAAAGCACCCCGGAAGGGGAGUGAAAUAGAACCUGAAACCGUGUGCUUACAAGAAGUCAGAGCCCUAUUUAUGGGUGAUGGCGUGCCUUUUGUAGAAUGAACCGGCGAGUUACGUUCCCAUGCAAGGUUAAGGCGAGAAGCCGUAGCCGCAGCGAAAGCGAGUCUGAAUAGGGCGACUUAGUAUGUGGGCGUAGACCCGAAACCGUGUGAUCUACCCCUGUCCAGGGUGAAGGUGCGGUAACACGCACUGGAGGCCCGAACCCACGUAUGUUGAAAAAUGCGGGGAUGAGGUGGGGGUAGCGGAGAAAUUCCAAUCGAACUCGGAGAUAGCUGGUUCUCCCCGAAAUAGCUUUAGGGCUAGCCUCGGAAUGAAGAGUCGUGGAGGUAGAGCACUGAUUGGGUGCGGGGCCCGCAAGGGUUACCAAGCUCAGUCAAACUCCGAAUGCCAUAGACUUAUAUCCGGGAGUCAGACAGUGAGUGCUAAGAUCCAUUGUCAAAAGGGAAACAGCCCAGACCAUCAGCUAAGGUCCCCAAGUGUGUGUUAAGUGGGAAAGGAUGUGGAGUUGCACAGACAACCAGGAUGUUGGCUUAGAAGCAGCCACCAUUUAAAGAGUGCGUAAUAGCUCACUGGUCGAGUGACUCUGCGCCGAAAAUGUAACGGGGCUAAACACACCACCGAAGCUAUGGCUUGAUGCGUAUGCAUCAGGGGUAGGGGAGCGUUGUAUGUAGGUUGAAGGUGUACCGUAAGGAGCGCUGGACAGCAUACAAGUGAGAAUGCCGGUAUGAGUAACGAAAAGAUCAGUGAGAAUCUGAUCCGCCGAAAGCCCAAGGUUUCCUGAGGAAGGCUCGUCCGCUCAGGGUAAGUCGGGACCUAAGGUGAGGCCGAAAGGCGUAAUCGAAGGACAACAGGUUGAAAUUCCUGUACCACCGUAAACCGUUAUGAACGAUGGGGUGACGCAGGAGGGUAGUGACGCGGACUGAUGGAUGUCCGUCCAAGCAGUGAGGCUGAUGUGUAGGCAAAUCCGCACAUCGAUAAGGCUGGGCUGUGAUGGGGAGUGAAAAUUACAGUAGCGAAGGUCAUGAUCUCACACUGCCAAGAAAAGCCUCUAGUCAGGUGAAGGUGCCCGUACCGCAAACCGACACAGGUAGGCGAGAAGAGAAUUCUAAGGCGCGCGGAAGAACUCUCGUUAAGGAACUCGGCAAAAUGACCCCGUAACUUCGGGAGAAGGGGUGCCUCGGUAGGGUGAAUAGCCCGAGGGGGCCGCAGUGAAAAGGCCCAAGCGACUGUUUAGCAAAAACACAGGUCUGUGCGAAGCCGUAAGGCGAAGUAUACGGGCUGACGCCUGCCCGGUGCUGGAAGGUUAAGGGGAGCGGUUAGGGGUUAAACCCGAAGCUGUGAACCGAAGCCCCAGUAAACGGCGGCCGUAACUAUAACGGUCCUAAGGUAGCGAAAUUCCUUGUCAGGUAAAUUCUGACCCGCACGAAUGGCGUAACGACUUGGGCGCUGUCUCAACGAGAGAUCCGGUGAAAUUUUAAUACCUGUGAAGAUGCAGGUUACCCGCGACAAGACGGAAAGACCCCAUGGAGCUUUACUGCAGCUUGAUAUUGGAUUUGGGUACGAUCUGUACAGGAUAGGUGGGAGCCUAAGAAGCAUGAGCGCCAGCUUGUGUGGAGGCGACGUUGGGAUACCACCCUGAUCGUAUCUAGGUUCUAACCUGGUACCGUGAUCCGGUACGGGGACAGUGUCAGGCGGGCAGUUUGACUGGGGCGGUCGCCUCCUAAAGAGUAACGGAGGCGCCCCAAGGUUCCCUCAGAAUGGUUGGAAAUCAUUCGAAGAGUGCAAAGGCAUAAGGGAGCUUGACUGCGAGACCUACAAGUCGAGCAGGGACGAAAGUCGGGCUUAGUGAUCCGGUGGUACCGCAUGGAAGGGCCAUCGCUCAACGGAUAAAAGCUACCCUGGGGAUAACAGGCUUAUCUCCCCCAAGAGUCCACAUCGACGGGGAGGUUUGGCACCUCGAUGUCGGCUCAUCGCAUCCUGGGGCUGAAGUAGGUCCCAAGGGUUGGGCUGUUCGCCCAUUAAAGCGGUACGCGAGCUGGGUUCAGAACGUCGUGAGACAGUUCGGUCCCUAUCUGUCGUGGGCGUAGGAAAUUUGAGAGGAGCUGUCCUUAGUACGAGAGGACCGGGAUGGACGUACCGCUGGUGCACCAGUUGUUCCGCCAGGAGCAUGGCUGGGUAGCUACGUACGGACGGGAUAAGCGCUGAAAGCAUCUAAGCGUGAAGCCCCCCUCAAGAUGAGAUUUCCCAAUUUAGUAAGACCCCUUGAAGACGACGAGGUAGAUAGGUUGGAGGUGGAAGUGCAGCAAUGCAUGGAGCUGACCAAUACUAAUCGGUCGAGGGCUUAUCCAA